AUGUUUUUUUAAAAUAGAUUUACUCAAGGCAGUGGUAAUGUGUAAAUCAAUAUUUAUUACACGAACUACGAUGUCUCGUGGUUUAGAGGAUUCCAAACAAGCUAAAGAAACAAAGCUCCCAGAAAAGGUAUAAAAAGACUGAGUUCCCUUUUCCAAGACAUCCUGCUACCUGCUACUGCAACUGCAACCUCAUCUGAUCAUCACAACAAGAUGGCAUCAGGUCUUCAUUUCAUUGUGCUCCUCUGUUUGACCAGUGGACUGUGGAUUGGAGCAGAUGCAGAAUGUGGACAUCAAACAGAUGACUGCAAUGACGCGUGUCCUUCUGGCUGGACUGAAUUUUGCAGUCGCUGUUACCAGUUCCAGGCUGCUGAAAAGGACUGGGCUGAUGCUGAGAAAACCUGCACUUUGCUUGGUGGAAAUCUGGCCUCAAUCCCAAAUGAAAAGGUGUACAGGUUCCUCAGAGAGCUGGUCUUUGAAGCAGCAAAGUCACAUCAGGAAACUUGGGUUGGAGGCUACGGUGCAGUGAAGGAGGGUGUGUGGCUGUGGAGUGAUGGGAACAUUUUUGACUUCAACCUGUGGCACCAAGGGGAACCCAACAACGUAGGUGGAGAGGAUUGCAUGGAAAUAAACUUCAGAGGAGGAGACUACAUCAACGAUCACAGGUCUUUACCUGUCGAGCUGCUGCAGCCUGGAGGAAACACCAGCUCUCACCUCACACACCAAACAGGUGUCACCACGUCAUCCAUGAUUACACAGUCUUCACACAACAAAGAUGUCCACCAGUGUCACCACUGCAUCUGUGAGUGCAGAGACCAGAGCUGAAGAUCCAGGACAGAUUCAUCACUGCAGGUGGAGUCACGGAAACCACAGGAUCCACCAGAGGUGAAGGAGGAGGGGGACAUGUCAGCAGCUGAAGUUCUGGACCUGGAGAGGACAGAAGAAAAGAAGAGUUAAAAAGCUGUUCAUGAAACAGCUGCACUUCAUAUUGAGCCAGACUGCUAGAGGACCUCCAAGUGGAGGGCUGUGUUAAAGCUCCACACCCUCCUCACAGUGACAUAGACUGUAGUUAUGAGCAGACUAACAUGUCUGUCAUUAUGACCACUAGGAGGCGCUUUGUUUAAUUCUCCCACCAAACACAAAGACUAACAUGUCGGUCAUUAAGCUUAAUGACCGACAUGUUAGUCUUUGGUGGGAGAAUUAAACAAAGCGCCUCCUAGUGGUCAAACACCUGCCAUUAUCUUUGUUACAUGUUGUCUGGAACAAAAUCAUUAAAGUUUUAAUUGAAUUUCAAACCUAUGUUUUACAAAUAUUUUUAUUACAGUUACAGACAUGUAAAGGUUUUAAUUUUUACUAUCUGCAGCUACAUUGUGGAGAAAUACUAAUUAAUAGUAAUUAAAAUGAAUAUUGCAGCUUUAGCUUAGUGAUGUUUGUUCCAG